ACAUACAGCCAUAGCAGCCUGAAUGUGCCUGAUCUAGUCUGAUCUCAGAAGCUAAGCAGGGUUGGGCCUAGUUAGUACUUGUAUGAAAUUCCUGGAUAUAUAUGAA
rfam:Fukomys damarensis contig121822, whole genome shotgun sequence.